rnacentral:rRNA from 1 species
AUUGAACGCUGGCGGCAGGCUUAACACAUGCAAGUCGAGCGAGCGGCGGACGGGUGAGUAAUGUCUGGGAAACUGCCUGAUGGAGGGGGAUAACUACUGGAAACGGUAGCUAAUACCGCAUACCAUCAGAUGUGCCCAGAUGGGAUUAGCUCGUAGGUGGGGUAAUGGCUCACCUAGGCGACGAUCCCUAGCUGGUCUGAGAGGAUGACCAGGCAAACUGGAACUGAGAAACGGUCCAGACUCCUACGGGAGGCAGCAGUGGGGAAGAGUGCACAAUGGGCGCAAUCCUGAUGCAGCCAUGCCGCUUGUGUUAAGAAGGCCUUCGGGUUGUAAAGAACUUUCAGCGGGGAGGCGUUACUCGCAGAAGAAGCACCGGCUAACUCCGUGCCAGCCGCCGCGGUAAUUC